ACUUCCCGCACCCAGCAGUAAACUUCCCGCACCGCGUGGGGACUACCCUCGUGCCGCAGGACUCCGCCCAGCUCCAGAGCCAUUGGGAAGAUUUCCUGGAGGAGAUGGGUCUGUGCUAACUCUUGAAGCAUAAGUUGAGUUUGGAUUGACUAAGAAGAUGAAUCAGCACCAUUGAAGUUUAACAAGCCCUGAGGAAGAUCAGAGAGUUGAGAGAAGAAAGAAUCAUUUCAGAAGAGCCCAGGUUGAGGAGCACCAGGUGAUACCAUACAGACUGAGGGAUAAAAAGGCAUGAGAAAUUCUGUGGAAAUAAGAGUUCUUCAGACCAAGAAUGGAGAAUCUUAAGUACAUACUUCAUUAACACACUAGGAUAUAAGCUUCCUACACAGGUGUCAACAUCAUCUCCUACGUUUCCAGGUCAGCAAUCUUCUUGUCCCUAAAUUGAAUGGUGGAAGAAGGGAAGUCAGAACCAGCAACACAGCAUCAUUUUGGGAGAAGGGGAUGUAUUAACUAAGACAUUCUCCCUCCUCUGAAGUGAGCCCUAUUUCCAGUGGAUUUGGUUGCAAGACCUAGAAUGUAGAGUUGGGAGCUAGGGAAAGAUUCUUCAAAAUAUUGAGAUCUCAUCUCUGAUGAAAAAGAACAACAAAAAUAA